rnacentral:rRNA from 1 species
AAUAUUGCGCAAUGGGGGAAACCCUGACGCAGCGACGCCGCGUGAACGAUGAAGGCCUUCGGGUCGUAAAGUUCUGUCCUCAGGGAAGAAUAAAUUGACGGUACCUGAGGAGGAAGCCCCGGCUAACUACGUGCCAGCAGCCGCGGUAAUACGUAGGGGGCGAGCGUUGUCCGGAAUUACUGGGCGUAAAGCGCGCGCAGGUGGCUUGUUAAGUCAGGUGUCAAAAUGCGGGGCUCAACCCCGUACCGCACUUGAAACUGGCAGGCUUGAGUGCAGGAGAGGGAAGUGGAAUUCCUAGUGUAGCGGUGAAAUGCGUAGAUAUUAGGAGGAACACCAGUGGCGAAGGCGACUUCCUGGACUGUAACUGACAUUGAGGCGCGAAAGCUAGGGGAGCAAAC